UUGCUACAAUUUACUCUAAAAAAUAAGCUGGGCAAAGUUCAUUUAAUCCAUCCAAAUGAAUAAUAAUUGACCUGAUUAAACAGUUAUUGGCCAAGUGCAUCUCCAUUCUUAAAAAAAUGAGUUGGUCCAAAGUCUAGUCAAUUAGUAUUAAAAUAUUAUUAAUUUUUGAGUAAAUUGUAGCAAUGGUCCCUCAACUUUAAUCAAAUUUGAGCAAUGGUCCUUCAACUAAAAAUUCAUUACCAUUGGUCCCUCAACUUAUCAAAAUGUGUAGCUAUAGUCAUUUUCAUCAAUUUCGUCAAAAUUUUGUCAAAAUAAGUUAUAUUGGAAUAACCAUUUAUAUAAUUAUGGUCCCUCAACUCAUCAAACUGUGUAAUUAUGGUCAUUUUCGUCAACUACGUCAAAAAAUUUGUCAAAACGAGUUAUGUUGG
rnacentral:lncRNA from 1 species